UACGAAGGGGGCUAGCGUUGCUCGGAAUCACUGGGCGUAAAGGGUGCGUAGGCGGUUUGGUAAGUCUCGUGUGAAAUCUACAGGCUCAACUUGUAGUCUGCACGAGAAACUGCCGGGCUUGAGUAUGGGAGAGGUGAGUGGAAUUCCUGGUGUAGCGGUGAAAUGCGUAGAUAUCAGGAGGAACACCUGUGGCGAAAGCGGCUCACUGGACCAUAACUGACGCUGAUGCACGAAAGCUAGGGGAGCAAACAGG
rnacentral:rRNA from 1 species